UCAAUAAUCUUGCAAUCAGGAAGUUUGCCCCUCUAGAACCACAAAACUGCUGCCGCGAACAGGAAACCACUACAAUCAGGAAGCUGCUACUGCUGCCGGGCUCCAGAACCAGUGCACAUCUGCAACAGACUACAUCAGCAGAAUGGAUGCUUCUCCCCCACCACCUAGGCUCACCCCAACUACUAAGCUCGUAUUUGAACAUUAAAACCUCUGCAAAUGAAGCUGCAGAAAAACCAAACACCUUCACAGAUGUGCUUGCUGGCUGGAUGGACAAACAUUCCAAAAUUCUGUCCAUUUCAGACUAAAUAGUACUAGAGCCUGAGCUGCAAAAGAAUAAGGAAAGUAUAUUUUUAGCAUUCCAACAUGUGGAGCAGGAGAAGGCACACGAGAACAGUGUUUUGGAAACUGAGGGUUGUGACUUAAGAGAGCAUCAUAAAAUCAAUUUAGGUGGUCACAAGUUUCAGGAGAGAACUGUGAGAAGAGCCCAUGAGGAAUAUGGACAUUUGAUCUUGGGGGAGAAAUCUUCUGGAGCUGUGCUUGUCCUUCGUGCUUCCUGGUGUUUGUUUAUGCUCCAGGAAGAGAGCUAGAUCCAGCCAUGAAGCCAUCCAUACAAUAUUCUGCUGAGAAGGAAUGAAGUAUCUUAUACAUCUUUUGACCUGCCCAGCACUGCUGUCUGCAUCCUGUUAACCAGGAUUCAGUCAUGUGACCUGCAUCCAAAUACAGACAAAACUAGCUGGAGAAAAGAGAGUUGCAUCUCCUACCAAAAAGGAACAAGUACAAAGACCCUGUGGUUGGAGAAGACAUGGCAUAUGACACAUUUGAGGAACUGAAGGAAAGUAUUUGGAAUUAUGUUGUGUACAAUGCUAAAGGAAAAAGACUUCCUCCUUUCCCACCAAAGUGAGAAUGUGUUGGGGAGGGAGGAGAGAAGGAAAUGUGGAAGUUUAUGUUUGAAAGUUAACUGUAACAGUCUAUAAAAUAUUCUUACCAUGUGAUAUGAACUUAUGGAAAAUUUGAUUUAAAGAGGUUAUGUCUGGAUUCCUUGUAAUGUUACUGCAAGAUCUCAGAGAAAUGUAGGCUUUUGGAAGAUGUGUAAAACCCCAGUUUCAAGAGAAUGGGACUCAGGUUUUGCUAGUACUUUCCAUCUUUUGAAGCUAAAAAGUUGGGUAUGGGAGCUACUGAGGAUUUUUAAAGAACAGAGUUUAAGGAGAAUACUUCCACUCAACCUCAUUUAAAUUUGCAAUGUGUAUUGGGGAAGAUAGCAAUUUUGUAUAAUACAGUGAUAGCUUAUCUAGUCUGGCUCAGCGUGUUUCACAGGAGGUUAAUGGGAAAGGUUUUCUUAUCUCAGAAAGUGAUCAGCUCUCUUUGAAGUUAGAAUUUGAGUCUCUAUGCUAGGCAGCAUUUUGUUUUCAUUUAAUUGAUUUAGUUGUGAAAUGUUCUGGCAUUUCUUAAUUCUGCAGAGGAGGUUUGUUCCUUUGAAACUGAGAUGUAUGUGUGCAUUAUUGUAUGUGUCACACACAUAUUGACACAUGUUUACAUAUCUGAUGGAUCCGUGUGUUCACUCAUUUACUAGCAAGUAUUUAUUUAACAUCUGUUAUAUGCUACAUUCUGUGAAUGCUUCAGUGAACUCACCAAAUAAGGUUUCUGUCUUCAUAGCCGUGGAAUUGACAAUCUGAAGGUGCUUGUAUAGACAUAAGCAAAAAGAUAAAUGUAGAAGUAAAAAUGUUAUUGACUACUAAGAAGAAAAAAUAAUAGGUUGGUGUGUAUGAGGAAGAAUAAUCAGAGUGUCUACCUAAGAAUGAGUGGUGUGUUUGAUAGCUUCUGUUUGUCCCCUACAGCCCCUCUUCCCACCCUUCCUUGCCCUUCCUGGGAGCCUUUCUGCACGGACUGCUUUAAAGGGCUCCCCUGCUUCCAGUGGGGAUUGGCCAUUGAGAUGGUGGGUGAAGAAUGAGGCUGGGUUAUUUACUUUCCUGGCUCUCUCCAUGCCAUAUCUCUAUUUGAUUGAAACUCUCCACUGAAGGCCAUCAAUUCUCAAUUCUUUAAGGUGGCCCUUACACUCACCCUCUCCAGGUUCUGGUACAUUCCCUUCCCUCCUGCGUCCAGUCUCCCCAGCUGAUGGUAGCCAUGGGGUACUAUACUAUCUCUUGUUGGUGUCCCUAAACCCUGUCCAUAACUUUAUAUAUGGCUUCUUUGUGAACAUUUUACCCCAUUUGGAAUACGACACCUGUUUCCUGCCGAGGUCCUGACUGAUGUAUAUUCAAGAGGGUCUUUUUGAGGAUGUGGCUUUUAAGUUGAAGUCUGAAAUGUCAGAAGUUGUGGACCAGACGAUUAAUGGGAGGAAGUGGGUUUUAGAAGAAAGAAAGAAUAUGCGUGAAGGCCCCCAGGAUGGAAAGAACUUUGUAUGUUCAAGGGACAUGCAGAGGAGGAACCUAUAUUUAGGGACAAAGGACAGGUGGUGCUGGAUGAGGCUGGAGAAGUGAAUAAGAACAGCCACAUCCAGCUUUGUAGACGCUGUUAGGGAGUGUAAGCAGGAUAAUCAACAACACUGUGUUUAGCUGAGCUGAAAUUAAUAGGGAAGACUUUCUGGAGUUGGUGGACUUUGAGUUGGACUUUAAUGAACAGAUAGAGAGAACUGUAUUAGGCAGUGGUAUUCAAAAUAGCUGGUCUGUGUCUCAGUGAGAUAAAAAAACUUGUGCUUGAAUGUAAAUCAAUACAUUGCUUUCUUCACCAAGGCAGCCUUGCAGUGGGCCACCUGGCAUUCGUAGGUAGGAGGUAGAGGAGAAGAGAAAGAGAAAUUUGGUAAAGCAGAUGCAGUCAAACCAGAUCACAGAACAGUACAAAUACCAGGAUAAGGAGUUGGGACUUUAUGCUGUGGGCAAUGGUGGUACAUUGAAUUUCUUUUCAAAAGAAUGGCAAGAUUAGAGCUACAGUUAGAAAGAUAAUCUAGCAUGAUGUCAAGGCUGAGUAGAUUCAAGGGAGGAAAGUGUGGAGCAGUGAUCAGAAACACUGUGGAAGUUCGGUUCUCUCUUUUGUGGUUUCAUUAAUUAACAAGGUCUGUUUUAUCUUUGAAAUGACGGCUAUGGCCUAAAAUGUGCUAUUAUUUACUAUCACCUUCCCAUGCGAACUUUUGAUGAUGAUGUUGAUUUUUGAUGAACAAAGCCAGGAGUCUUCAAUAAAAUAAAACAAUAAAACGGAAGUCUU